GUCUACGUAGCUCAGCUGGAUAGAGCACACGCCUUCUAAGCGUGCGGUCGCGGGUUCGAAUCCCUCCGUGGACGCCA
rnacentral:tRNA from 9 species